rnacentral:lncRNA from 12 species
UUCUGAAGCACUCAGUGUCUUUAUUUUUACUUGCUUUCAGUCAGGCAGAGUCUAAUUGUGAAACUGCUUGUGGCACAGGAAUUCAAGGAGUGUACCUCUCCUAAGGAGGCAUCAUGUAAAGUAGGAUUUGUUACUUGUGGGCUUCCAUAGCUUAAUGCCAGUUUCUGUGCCUGGAGAGUGACCUUGUGAAAUGCAGGCUGCCGACCGUGGCAGUGUGCAGCAUUAGCCUGAAGUCACUGUCCCAGGUGAAUGCUUCUGCCAUGACAAAGUAGAUGAUGUCCAAGAAGACUGGAAGAGCUAGUUGGUCUUUUUGCUCAUGGAGCAACCAUUCAAGAAAUGAAAU